rnacentral:rRNA from 1 species
AUGGGUGAUACUGCCUCAGGAUCGGGCACGUCUGCCUCCGAUCUGGAGGCGAUGAUGGAAGAACUUGGCUUGAAGGAAGACGAUCUGGAGGACGUCGUGAUCGAAGAUGAGGAGCUUCCGGCGGAGGCAACUCCCUGGAUGGCCAUUGCUAGGGUUCACACGGAGAAAACGUACAACCAGUACUGGUUCUAUCGGAAUAUGAGGGCUGUUUGGGACUUGGCAAAGGAGGUAAAGGUUAGGCCGCUUGAGGAGAACCUGUACACUAUGCAGUUUGGGUGCCUCGGCGACUGGGAACGGGUGAUGGAGGAUGGACCAUGGACUUUCAAAGGGAAAGUUGUAGUUCUAGCACAUUAUGAUGGCUUCACUAAGCCGUCGUCAAUAGAGCUCAAUAAGAUUGAUUAUUGGAUGCAGAUCCAUGAUCUCCCCGACGCUUCUUUUCCAAGAUCAAGGCAUUGUCCGCUACGGUAG